CUACGGGACGCACCAGUGGGGAAUAUCGCACAAUGGAGGAAACUCUGAUGCAGCAACGCCGCGUGGAGGAUGACACUUUUCGGAGCGUAAACUCCUUUUAUAUAGGAAGAAGAUGACGGUACUAUAUGAAUAAGCGCCGGCUAACUCCGUGCCAGCAGCCGCGGUAAUACGGAGGGCGCAAGCGUUACUCGGAAUCACUGGGCGUAAAGAGCGUGUAGGCGGAUUAAAAAGUCAGAAGUGAAAUCCUAUAGCUUAACUAUAGAACUGCUUCUGAAACUCUUAAUCUAGAAUAUGGGAGAGGUAGAUGGAAUUUCUGGUGUAGGGGUAAAAUCCGUAGAGAUCAGAAGGAAUACCGAUUGCGAAGGUGAUCUACUAGAACAUUAUUGACGCUGAGACGCGAAAGCGUGGGGAGCAAACAGGAUUAGAUACCCCCGUAGUC
rnacentral:rRNA from 1 species